AAGACUAUAGACCUGCGGAGUACCUGCGGAGGGAUCAUUAUCAGGAAAGAGUGGCUUCGUGUCCCUUUUCCAUUCACCCUUGUGUUCACUUAUAAACAUGUCUUUUCUUUGGCAAGACGUCUUGAUUUGGGUAACCAAACCAAGCCAUUGACUUGAUAUCAAGUGAAUGUGUUUUGCUUGCCAAAGUUUUUUAACUCUAUAACUUUUGAAGUCUGAGUCUAAAACAAAUAAAUUAAAACU
rnacentral:misc_RNA from 1 species